rnacentral:rRNA from 2 species
UGGGGAAUUUUGCGCAAUGGGCGAAAGCCUGACGCAGCAACGCCGCGUGCGGGAUGAAGGCCUUCGGGUUGUAAACCGCUUUCAGUAGGGAAGAUUAUGACGGUACCUACAGAAGAAGCUCCGGCUAACUACGUGCCAGCAGCCGCGGUAAUACGUAGGGAGCAAGCGUUAUCCGGAUUCAUUGGGCGUAAAGCGCGCGUAGGCGGCUUAUUAAGUCAGGUGUCAAAUCUGAGGGCUCAACCCCCAGCCGCACCUGAAACUGGUAGGCUCGAGUUCGGUAGAGGAAAGUGGAAUUCCCAGUGUAGCGGUGGAAUGCGCAGAUAUUGGGAAGAACACCGGUGGCGAAGGCGGCUUUCUGGGCCGUAACUGACGCUGAGGCGCGAAAGCUAGGGGAGCAAACAGG